UGUAGUGUGUCAAGGGCAGAUUUGUUCACAAGGGUAGAAGCUUGGAGUAACGUAACUAGGAGAAUAUAGCAGAUAUACAACACACGGAAGAGCCUUUUGAGUUUGGUGGUCGUCCUUAUUUAUUUGAACCCGAGAAUACAGACGAAGAACUCUCCUCUCAAGAGCUGGAAAGAACCAGACAGAGACAGGUGCAACAGGCAGAUGAAGCUGGUGCUCC